rnacentral:rRNA from 1 species
AUUGAACGCUGGCGGCAGGCCUAACACAUGCAAGUCGAGCGGAUGCAGGGAGCUUGCUCCUGGUUUCAGCGGCGGACGGGUGAGUAAUGCCUAGGAAUAUGCCUGUUUGUGGGGUAUAAGGUGCUGACACGGGCGCUCAUACCGCAUACGUCCUGAGGGAGUAAGGGGGGGAUCUUCGGACCUCCCGCCAUCAGAUGAGCCUAGGUCGGAUUAGCUAGUUGGUGGGGUAAAGGCCUACCAAGGCGACGAUCCGUAGCUGGUCUGAGAGGAUGAUCAGUCACACUGGAACUGAGACACGGUCCAGACUCCUACGGGAGGCAGCAGUGGGGAAUAUUGGACAAUGGGCGCAAGCCUGAUCCAGCCAUGCCGCGUGUGUGAAGAAGGUCUUCGGAUUGUAAAGCACUUUUAGUUGGGAGGAAGGGCAGUAAGUUAAUACCUCGCUGUUUUGACGUUACCAACAGAAUAAGCACCGGCUAACUUCGUG